rnacentral:lncRNA from 1 species
GUUGUAAACAAGGGACCAGGACAGCCUAGGGAAACAGUCACAUGACAUCUGGAGGAGGGAAUGCACCUUACUAAAGCCAAGAAACACUAAGGAGGACACAUGACCAGCAGACGCCAAGGGUGAUUAACAACUGGACCUCAAUGACCAGGGUCAAAGGUGGCAAGUGACAGAUUAAACAGCAUAAACAAAUCACUACAAACAGAAACUUAGAACAACAUGAAUUUAUAAGCUCACAGUUCUUCAGGUCAGAAAGUAGGUGUGGCUCUCCCUGGGCUAAGAAUGGCAGCGGUGCUUUCUAGCUUCUAGAAAGGCUUGGAUCCAUUAGCGCACGGCUCAUCUCUCAUCUUCAUCUUCCUGGUCAUGUUUCACUGGCGCAUCCCGUUCUCUGGGAGUACAGCAUGCGCGCACUCUCC